rnacentral:tRNA from 1 species
GUGCCCAUAGUUCAGUUGGUUAGAGCGUCAGAUUGUGGUUCUGAAUGUCGUGGGUUCGAGUCCCACUGGGCACCCCA